rnacentral:lncRNA from 1 species
CCAAAGUUCACUGUGUAGGUCUCUACUGUUGUGAAGGGGAAUGCCUGGCCAGUGGCUAUCUCCUCCUCUUUCUCCUCCUCCUCCUCUUCCUCAAACUCGGGCUCCAACUGGGUCUCAAACUCGGGCUCCACCUUGGUCCCAAACUCGGGCUCCACCUCGGUCCCAAACUCUGUCACCACCUCUGUGUAGGUCUCAGUCUC